rnacentral:rRNA from 1 species
GAUGAACGCUAGCUACAGGCUUAACACAUGCAAGUCGAGGGGCAGCACAAGGCAGCAAUGCUGAGGUGGCGACCGGCGCACGGGUGCGUAACGCGUAUCCAACCUUCCCGUUACUCUUGGAUAGCCUUCCGAAAGGGAGAUUAAUACAAGAUGGUGUUGAAAUUCCGCAUGUUAUUUCAACUAAAGAUUUAUCGGUAACGGAUGGGGAUGCGUGACAUUAGAUAGAUGGCGGGGUAACGGCCCACCAUGUCCACGAUGUCUAGGGGUUCUGAGAGGAAGGUCCCCCACACUGGAACUGAGACACGGUCCAGACUCCUACGGGAGGCAGCAGUGAGGAAUAUUGGUCAAUGGUCUGACGACUGAACCAGCCAUGCCGCGUGAAGGUGACGGCCCUAUGGGUCUUAAACUUCUUUUGUAAGGGAGCAAUAAGUCCUACGUGUAGGACGAUGAGAGUACCUUACGAAUAAGCAUCGGCUAACUCCGUGCCAGCAGCCG